rnacentral:rRNA from 1 species
GAUGAACGCUGGCGGCGUGCCUAAUACAUGCAAGUCGAGCGAACGGACGAGAAGCUUGCUUCUCUGAUGUUAGCGGCGGACGGGUGAGUAACACGUGGAUAACCUACCUAUAAGACUGGGAUAACUUCGGGAAACCGGAGCUAAUACCGGAUGAUAUUUUGAACCGCAUGGUUCAAAAGUGAAAGACGGUCUUGCUGUCACUUAUAGAUGGAUCCGCGCUGCAUUAGCUAGUUGGUAAGGUAACGGCUUACCAAGGCAACGAUGCAUAGCCGACCUGAGAGGGUGAUCGGCCACACUGGAACUGAGACACGGUCCAGACUCCUACGGGAGGCAGCAGUAGGGAAUCUUCCGCAAUGGGCGAAAGCCUGACGGAGCAACGCCGCGUGAGUGAUGAAGGUCUUCGGAUCGUAAAACUCUGUUAUUAGGGAAGAACAUAUGUGUAAGUAACUGUGCACAUCUUGACGGUACCUAAUCAGAAAGCCACGGCUAACUACGUGCCAGCAGCCGCGGUAAUACGUAGGUGGCAAGCGUUAUCCGGAAUUAUUGGGCGUAAGCGCGCGUAGGCGGUUUUUUAAGUCUGAUGUGAAAGCCCACGGCUCAACCGGGGGAGGGUCAUUGGAAACUGGAAAACUUGAGUGCAGAAGAGGAAAGUGGAAUUCCAUGUGUAGCGGUGAAAUGCGCAGAGAUAUGGAGGAACACCAGUGGCGAAGGCGACUUUCUGGUCUGUAACUGACGCUGAUGUGCGAAAGCGUGGGGAUCAAACAGGAUUAGAUACCCUGGUAGUCCACGCCGUAAACGAUGAGUGCUAAGUGUUAGGGGGUUUCCGCCCCUUAGUGCUGCAGCUAACGCAUUAAGCACUCCGCCUGGGAGUACGACCGCAAGGUUGAAACUCAAAGGAAUUGACGGGGACCCGCACAAGCGGUGGAGCAUGUGGUUUAAUUUGAAGCAACGCGAAGAACCUUACCAAAUCUUGACAUCCUUUGACAACUCUAGAGAUAGAGCCUUCCCCUUCGGGGGACAAAGUGACAGGUGGUGCAUGGUUGUCGUCAGCUCGUGUCGUGAGAUGUUGGGUUAAGUCCCGCAACGAGCGCAACCCUUAAGCUUAGUUGCCAUCAUUAAGUUGGGCACUCUAAGUUGACUGCCGGUGACAAACCGGAGGAAGGUGGGGAUGACGUCAAAUCAUCAUGCCCCUUAUGAUUUGGGCUACACACGUGCUACAAUGGACAAUACAAAGGGCAGCGAAACCGCGAGGUCAAGCAAAUCCCAUAAAGUUGUUCUCAGUUCGGAUUGUAGUCUGCAACUCGACUACAUGAAGCUGGAAUCGCUAGUAAUCGUAGAUCAGCAUGCUACGGUGAAUACGUUCCCGGGUCU